GCUUUGGUCGCUCCUGGUGUGGACGUACAGUUAGCCGUAUGUGAGGUGUUACUAUAAGCAGGACUGCAGUGCCCAUAAUCGCCCCUUUCAACCCGUCGGAUGCCAGACUGACACGCCUCAGAUUAUAUCGACGGGAACCCAAACAAACUCGCCGAUGGGAAUGCAUUCUGUGGGAAUACAAAGUGCACGGUUGAAGUCGGCACACAGUUGUCCAUGGGAUCGAUAAAGGCACACGUAAGAAGCAAAGUUGUAUCUUGCAUCAAUGCACCACAAUGAAAAUGCAUCACAGGAGCAAGCUACGACUUCUGCAGGGCAGGCGAAGAGUGGGGAAGGUGUUG